ACACACAGCAAACCACACUUAGCUGUCAUUGAUGAAUCGGAGCCUCUGCCAGACAGCCGGCCAAGCCGACGCUAACUCACCCCACAGCCUGAAAUAGAAACUCGCUCGUUUUCCAGUGUGUGACAAAGAAGGAAGGACAUCAACUGGGAGUGGCCCAGAAGCCCGAAGCUGAGAGGACAAAGCUCACUGGGCUCAUCUGUUUGCAGCCCCUGUUCCUGGGGAACAAAACCUCCUAGUCAAGAAUCAUCACGCCCAUGGCUACACUACCACAAACACUCCAGUAAAUCAGGUGAACACCCACCCAGGGCUCCAGAGCCUACACACAUGGAACAUUUGUACUUUGGUGACUUCCAUCUUGAAGAUCUACGUGGGCCAAGAGUGAUGCUGACAUUAGCUGCUUCUUUUUCCACGAUCAAAUCUUCUCAUUUGCUCUCCCUAGGAGGGAAUAUUGAAAUUGGAACCACAACACUUGGGUAUAUCAGGUUGGAAAAGACAGUUCAACAGAUGGCUGGUCACCUUGAUUGAGUAGAAUGCCACUGGAAGACCACAAAUCUCUAAACCAUAGUGAAGAAUUGGCCAAGGGGAGCAAAAUCCAAUCAAUUCAAGGGGUUCCCCUUUCCAGGGUCUUGGACAGCGAGGUGAGCGUGUGUUUCUAGCAGGUAAAGCUGACACGUGGCAUCCAGGAGGUCUCCACUCAACUUGAAGAAAUUGAAUGAGUGCAUUUUGUUUCCUGCUUAUAAUUUCCACUUAAAGCACCUCUGUAGUUGACCUCAAGGCCUGCUUUGAUAUCAAUCUCCAAAGCACAAAAGGAAUCAUUUUGCACUUUUUUUCUUCAAGGGACUUACAAAUGAAGGAUCUGAUAAGCACAGUUGAUGAUUAAACCUAAUAAGCUGGCUGCUGGAGUGCUUUGAUUUACUUUGGCAAAGGCUCUUUGAGCUUGGUGGAAAACAGAAUCAGUUUGUUUGUUUUUGUUUGUCUCUGGCUUUUCUGUUGAAGACCUUGAUUUAAG
rnacentral:lncRNA from 1 species